UUUUAAUUUGUAAAAAGAAGAAUGUAGGAUCUACACAACAUCUGUUAUUUUCUUGUAAUGUGUCUUACAACAUUUGGCAAAUAUUCUAUUUGGUUGGGUUAAUACGGUUCUACUACGUACAAAAUAGAAUAUACCAUUUUAUUUUGGUCGAUCUAUGAUUUGGCACAUGGAAACAAAGUCACGGAGUGCUGGAAGCUUUUGUUAACAUUGAAAUCAAAUAUGUUUCCAUUGAGCAUAGUUGGAUUUUGCUGAGGUGAUUGACAUGAUUAAGGUUAGGAGUUGUUUUGGCUUAAGGCUAGGCUAAAAAUGCCUUCCAUGUCAUCAUAUAUGAGUAGUGGACCUCUUGUAUGUCCUCUUCACUUUGAUGAACAUAUCUUGAUGUAGUUGGGCUUAGGAUACCCCUUUGUGCAGAAUUCUUAUUUAUUUUUUAUCAAGUUCUAAUUAUUAGGUGCUAUAUUUGCUGAUAGCUUGGUGGUGUAAAAGUUUGAUAUUGGUUGGAUGUUUUGGAUGUGCCUUUUGGUUUUUCAAGAAGCUUGUGGAAAAGGAUAAGCACCUAAAAUUGGAUGAAUUAGUGACUAAAUUAUGAUUAUAGAAAAUUGUUUUUUCCUUCACUACUUCUGGGUUCACUAAAUUUUGAUGAUGAAAUUUUUAAAAUUUACAUAUAGAUUGUUCUGGAACUAAUUUCAAUUUUUAUAGUAAUUAAGUUCAAAUAAUUAUAUGAGAGAGGAGUCUUUAUCUUGCAAUUUGAAGAAACAAUUUAUCUAGACUUUCCAAGCUUGAAGGGUCAGUUGUUGAAAACUUGAGUAGGGAUAUUCACCAUAUAUAUGGUUGGGAUUACAUAAUCACUAAAACUUGCCCUAAAAAAGUUGGUGAAUGUUCAUCUAGUACCCUAAAAAAUUUGUUCAAGUUUUUAUUAUUAUUGUAGAUUUCUUCUGUUGUUCAGUUUCUGUUUAAUUAGUGUGUGAUGGUAGCUUGUAAAUAUUUUGAAGAAAAUUAUGAAAUUGUUUAUUGAGGAGUAGGAAAUAUGAGAGGAACAAAACUUUCCUCCUUAAUUUCUUAACAUAAAUAUAUUUAGUUUUUUUUUUAUUUCCCGUGCUUUAUAUAUAAAAUAGCAAGUAUACAAACAAAAAUUAAUCGGUAUGUAGUAUGUACUAUCAAUUUCCUUCUUUUAUUAUCUAAUUUAUUUCUUGUCAUUAUCCUGCACUCUUCAAUUUCUUGACAGUGAAACCCCACUUCUUGGGCAGAGAAUUGUGAAAAAAUGAAUUUGAAUAAAAUAUAAAUAAUAAUCAAAUGAUUAUUGAUUAUACCCAUUUUUCUCUUUAUUUCUUAUUAAGUCAUUUCGUAUUCAAAGACUAAGACAUAAUAAUUUUUUGUUGUCUUUUUGUUCAUAGUGAGAUUUGGACAAAAACCUACUUCUUUCUCCUUUUCCACUUCUGCCUCCUUUAAAUCCUAUCGGACCUUCACCCACAAACUAGGACACCAUUUAUUUUUCCCUGAAAACUAUGCCAAAUUAAUGCUGAGAAUUUAUUUUCAUAGUUUCUGAGUUGUUGGUUGGUCUUCCGUUUUCAGGAAAAUAUUUCAGGCACGAUGGUGAACAACGAAAACAGUGUAGGAUAUAUGAGAUGUAUGUCUGAUUUCUUCCCAUAUUCCAUUUUUUAUUGGUGAAAAUUAUAAAUUGUAAGGCAUUUCUGGAAAUGAAUUAAUUUGAUUAUCAUAAAAUUGUUUUUGGUUGCAUAUAUCUGGGGGAGUUGUCCUGUUGAUUCAAAUUUAUGAGAAUUACUCCGUAUCAGUUAGGUCAGUGCUUUUGUUGGGUUUCACUAAUCCUUUAUGUUGUUUUUAACAUAUAGUUUCUUCUUACUGGCGUAGUGCUUUAUAUAUACAACACUCAAAUAGCAACUUCUAAAUUAUUAAAUAUUAGAAGUUUCUUAAAAUAUUAGAAUGCUAAAGAUUUACCCUAAAAUUUAUUGCAAAUGUGGUGUUUAAAAUAACUGGACGUCAAUUAUUAACUAAAAUUUUCCUGUGGUUUAGUCAUUUUCUAUAAAUGCCUUCAAAUCUACAUUUUGAUUUUUGAGUAAAAUGUUAAUAUGCACAUGUUAUUACCUCUUGAGAUCUAGAUCAUUAUUAGGUUGUUUCUGACUCUAUUUAAGAGUGGAGCAAAUGAUAGAUGUCUUAAUCUUGUAUGAGUGCUUAACGCCCUUACCUCAUUCUUAUUUUCCCCAGUAUCACGAGACUAGGAUAAACGCAGGAUAAAAAUAAUACAUGGAAUCUUGUAGGGAGUAAAACUGUGUGGAAUGACUGAGUGCUAACAACAAUGUCGUUUUUCCUUUAAAAUUUUACAUUUUCUGUUCUAAAAGGCUAAAACUAUAAACAAUUUUGAUUUGAACAUCUUCCAAAUCACGUGGCAAGUUGUAUAGGUCUGUUGACAAGUACAAUACACAAGUGAAGCUUGUGAUCUACUUGUCUUUCAGGAUACACAAAGUGUUGAAUUAAUAAGUAGUGUGGUAGAUUUAUAUAGAUGAACAAUUGGUUCCCAUUGCAGUGAUGCCCUUCAAUAAAUUUAAGCAUAUUUCUUUGUAUUUAUUAUUGUUAUUAUUAUUAUUAUUUUAUUUUACUUACAAUAUUCUUGCCCAUACAUUUGUUUUCAAUUUACAUGUUUGGGUAAUGUUAACAAAAAUAAAAAAAUGCAAAAUCAACAUCGAUUAUGGUAAAAUCGAUGUUGUAAUGCACGAUAUAACAUCAAGUACUAUAAGACAUUGAUUUUUUUUAGAACUAAUGUUUUUUUUUGCAUUUUUUUGUGUAUUUCUUACUAUGCGAGGUCAAUUUUGGGGAGAAUUGAUGUUGUAUCAAUUUUGGGGAGAAUUGAUGUUGUAUAGUGAAUUUCAAUAUCAUUUUUCAUAAUUGAUUUAAAAAAUGAUACUUUUAACGACGGUAGUUUUAACAUUAAUUUCAAACUGAUAUUGAAUGUUAAUAAUAAUCGUUGUUAAAAAUUUAUUUUUUAAUAAUGAAUAAGUUUGAAUAUAAAGUAUCACAACCUAGUUCAACCUAUGCAUAAAGUGUAAGUACAAGUUUUAUAAUAACUCAUAUACAUUACUUAGUGCAUGUUUGGAAUAGUAUUUGGAAUUUGUGUUUGAUCAAUCAGUAAUUUGUUUUGUGUUUGAUCAAUCAAAUUACCUAAAUAUGAAUUCAAACACACUAUUAAUCAAUUUAGCUAGACUUCCUUGAUGCAUAAGAAGUAGCAUUAUCAAUUCACCAUUUUAGUGCCAUUUUGUUCCAUCUGGUGUAUGCUACGGAAGAGUUGGCAACAAUCUGCCAUCACCACAAGAAGUAGUGUCCCUUUCUAAACAGUACGAUUUCCGAAGGAUGAGAAUCUAUGAUCGAAACCAACAAGUCCUCCAAGCUCUAAGAGGUUCCAGCAUUGAGUUGCUGCUAGAUCUCCCUAACAUCGACCUCCAAAGAGUAGCAUCUAGCCAAGACAACGCAAACAGAUGGGUACAAGACAACGUCAAAAAGUUUGGCAAUGUUAGAUUUAGGUACUUUUCAAUGAGAAACGAAGUGAAGCCUUGGGACUCAUUUGCACGGUUUCUAGUACUUGCAAUGCAAAAUAUCCAAAGACCUAUUUCUAGUGUUGGCCUUGGAAACCAAAUCAAAGUUUCCACUGCCAUUGAGACUGGCGCAUUGGCAGAAUCAUACCCUCCAUCAAGAGGGUCCUUUAGGUCUGAUUAUAGAACAGCAUAUCUUGAUGGUGUCAUCAGAUUUCUAGUGAACAACAAUGCCCCAUUAUUGGUUAAUGUGUAAAUUCAAUAACUUUAGCAUUCUCAGGAUAAAAAUCUCGGGAGAAAUUAAAUUCCUAUUUUUUUAAGUCAAAAGAAACAUUAAAUUUAGAAGAAAUUAGAUAAUUAUUAUGUAAUUUAAGUAUAUAAAUUAAGAAUGUAUAACAAUCAUCAGACUAACGAACAAAGUUAGUUUUAAAUAAAAGUUAUAUUAUUAAUAUUUUAUGGUAUAUAAUGGAUAAUCUCUUUUGCUAGCAUUAACUAGGCAUGAUAAAUAAUCUUGUAUUUGUGAGUUUCGCUCUAAAAUCAUUCUAACUUUGAUGGGAAAUAUCUACUUUGAUUAGGUACGAAUAUGAAUACGGGUAUUACCUGAAGUGUUUAAGUGGGAAUAGAGAUGAAUGUUAAAUUAUACUUGUACUUGUAUUGUGGUUGUUACAUUUUUUUUUAUAAUUUUUUUGUCACAAUAUAAGAUUUUAUUGUUAUAAUUUUUUAAAAUAUAAAUCAACUAGGUUAAUAGUUAAAUAAUUAAAUAAUAAACUUAAAAAUAUAAUUGAGUUCUUAAUUUUUUAACUUUAAUUUCUUUGUUAUUCAUGAUAAUUUAUAUAUUGUUUGAAUAAAAUACAAUUUAAAACUUAAUAUAUAAGUAAAGUAAAAUUAUAGAAAAAAUUAUAGUAAAUUAUUCGAUAUACCGAAUCCAAUAAAACUUGAUGGGAAUGAAUAUAAUUAUUAAAAUUUUAAACUUACUUCUUUAAUUUUAUAUCCGUACCCAUUUUGUCUUUUGCAGAGACAAGAAUAUGAAUGUACCUCGCCUUGUUGUCAUCCCUAGCAUUAACUCUAGAAUUUCAUAAUCUCUAGUAUUGUUGAUAACUUUCUUUCAUAGCACGGCCAAUUAGUAUGGAAAUUUUUAAAUGAAAGAUAUAUCUAUUCUUAAUCUCAUCACUACAUAAAUUUCACAAAUUAAUUUCCUUUUGUUCCAAACUCAAUAGAAUCCUUGAGAAAACAAAAGGUUCUUUGUGUUUCAUAGGUUUCAUAAGUAAAGUAAAAUUAUAAAAAAAACUAUAGUAAAUUAUUUGGUAUACCGAAUCCAAUAAAGCUUGAUGGGAAUGAAAUAAGUAUUAAAAUUUUAAACUUACUUCUUUAAUUUUAUAUCUGUACCCAUCCUGUCUUUUGCAGAGGCAAGAAUAGGAAGGAUCAAAUCUGUCUGUGCCUCGCCUUGUUGUCAUCCCUAGCAUUACCUCUAGAAUUUCAUAAUCUCUAGUAUUGUUGAUAACUUUCUUUCAUAGCACGGCCAAUUAGUAUGAAAAUUUUUAAAUGAAAGAUAUAUCUAUUCUUAAUCUCAUCACUACAUAAAUUUCACAAAUUACUUUCCUUUUGUUCCAAACUCAAUAGAAUCCUUGAGAAAACAAAAGGUUCUUUGUGUUUCAUAGGUUUCUUUUGGUCCCAAACUCAACAGAAUCCAUCUAUCAAUGAAUCAUCAAGAGAAGAGUUUUUUUUCCCCACACCAAGAACCAUGAGUUAGAUUAGGGAAUGAAAAGGGAAGUACUGGAGGUGGGUGAAGGAUAAAAAAACUUACCAAGACUUGGCUUCAAAUUCAAUCACUACCAACUUUACCACAGAGCUCUUAGGAAGGGAAGAGAAAGAAUUUGGGAUGAACACAAGGAAGUGUACGGACAAGGCUGACUCAAAUGGGGGCUUGGAUGAUUUGAUCAAUUUCUUAAAAGUCCAUGGUUAAAUG
rnacentral:lncRNA from 1 species